UACGUAGGGGGCUAGCGUUGUCCUGAAUCAUUGGGCGUAAAGAGCGUGUAGGCGGCCCGGUAAGUCCGCUGUGAAAGUCGGGGGCUCAACCCUCGAAUGCCGGUGGAUACUGUCGGGCUAGAGUGCGGAAGAGGCGAGUGGAAUUCCUGGUGUAGCGGUGAAAUGCGCAGAUAUCAGGAGGAACACCGAUUGCGAAGGCAGCUCGCUGGGACGUAACUGACGCUGAGACGCGAAAGCGUGGGGAGCAAACAGG
rnacentral:rRNA from 1 species